rnacentral:rRNA from 1 species
GAUGAACGCUGGCGGCGUGCCUAAUACAUGCAAGUCGAGCGAACAGACGAGGAGCUUGCUCCUCUGACGUUAGCGGCGGACGGGUGAGUAACACGUGGAUAACCUACCUAUAAGACUGGGAUAACUUCGGGAAACCGGAGCUAAUACCGGAUAAUAUAUUGAACCGCAUGGUUCAAUAGUGAAAGACGGUUUUGCUGUCACUUAUAGAUGGAUCCGCGCCGCAUUAGCUAGUUGGUAAGGUAACGGCUUACCAAGGCAACGAUGCGUAGCCGACCUGAGAGGGUGAUCGGCCCCACUGGAACUGAGACACGGUCCAGACUCCUACGGGAGGCAGCAGUAGGGAAUCUUCCGCAAUGGGCGAAAGCUUGACGGAGCAACGCCGCGUGAGUGAUGAAGGUCUUCGGAUCGUAAAACUCUGUUAUUAGGGAAGAACAAAUGUGUAAGUAACUAUGCACGUCUUGACGGUACCUAAUCAGAAAGCCACGGCUAACUACGUG